GUAAUAGUUAUGGUCUUGAAACUUAAAAAAUUUGGCGGUAUUUUAGUCUAUUCAGAGGAAUUUGUUCUGUAAUUGAUAAUCCGCGUUGGACCUUACUUAAGUUUGUUUUUCAGUUUAUAUACCGUCGUUAUCAGAAUAUUUUAAAAGAAUAAAUAAUUUUCUUAAGUUUUCAUUAUGAACUUAUUUCAGAUCAAGGUGUAGCUUAUAUUUAAGUAGAAAUGAAUUACAAUAAAUUUAUUUAAAUGGAUAUUAAUAUGAAAAGUUAAUUGAAAGUGGAUUUGAAAGUAAAAUUAUAWAGAU
rnacentral:rRNA from 1 species